UACGUAGGGGGCUAGCGUUGUCCGGAUUUAUUGGGCGUAAAGAGCGUGUAGGCGGCCAGGUAGGUCUGCUGUGAAAACUCGAGGCUUAACCUCGAGAUGUCAUCGGAAACCAUUUGGCUAGAGUCCGGAAGAGGAGAGUGGAAUUCCUGGUGUAGCGGUGAAAUGCGCAGAUAUCAGGAAGAACACCGGUGGCGAAAGCGCUCUGCUGGACCUUAACUGACACUGAGGGACGAAAGCUAGGGGAGCGAAUGGG
rnacentral:rRNA from 1 species